UAGGGAAUCUUCUUUNAAUGGGGGCAACCCUGACCGAGCAACGCCGCGUGAGUGAAGAAGGUUUUCGGAUCGUAAAGCUCUGUUGUAAGUCAAGAACGAGUGUGAGAGUGGAAAGUUCACACUGUGACGGUAGCUUACCAGAAAGGGACGGCUAACUACGUGCCAGCAGCCGCGGUAAUACGUAGGUCCCGAGCGUUGUCCGGAUUUAUUGGGCGUAAAGCGAGCGCAGGCGGUUUGAUAAGUCUGAAGUUAAAGGCUGUGGCUCAACCAUAGUUCGCUUUGGAAACUGUCAAACUUGAGUGCAGAAGGGGAGAGUGGAAUUCCAUGUGUAGCGGUGAAAUGCGUAGAUAUAUGGAGGAACACCGGUGGCGAAAGCGGCUCUCUGGUCUGUAACUGACGCUGAGGCUCGAAAGCGUGGGGAGCGAACAGGAUUAGAUACCCUGGUAGUCCACGCCGUAAACGAUGAGUGCUAGGUGUUGGAUCCUUUCCGGGAUUUCAGUGCCGCAGCUGACGCAUUAAGCACUCCGCCUGGGGAGUACGACCGCUAGGUUG
rnacentral:rRNA from 1 species